UGUCCUUUUUUCACUUGAAUGAACAGAUAUUUUAGCAUAUGUAAGCACCCAGAUUAUACUACACUGUUAUAUCCUCACUUCUGCAGUUAUACUUGUUGUAUGUAUCGUUAACAGGAUCUGUUCAUACAGAACUCCCCAUUUCGAAAUUAGUAAUCAUUUUAUGUACAUAUUCCCUGCCACAAACUACAAGUUGAUAAUGGUGCAUAAACUAGCUAGUCUUGCUGGAAAUAGGAAUUGAAUGUGUAGAACAGUUGCUUCUAGUGCUUGCUCAAUUACAGUUGCUCAAGUACUCCUUUGCUGGAGUAUUUCUUUUACUUCUCACAUACUCCCCUUUUCUUUCUCUGAAAAGGAGAUAUGUAUAUGCAGGAGUCCUCGGUCAAAGAUAUGUGUAGAACUCUGAAAAUUUAUUCUGAACUUGUGCAUGAGUUAUUUUAUGCAACACUGAAACUUUAUUACUGAACAAUAAAAUGAUGUCUUUGUCUGUAUUUGCAGCUUCAGAGAGGUGCUAUUAUAGAGCUGUUGUGCAGAGAGGUGGUGCUGACGGGACAAGCCCUUCAAGAAUGAUAGUGGAAAUUUAGAAUUUUUGCUAUUCUUUUUCUUGACUUGUCCAAGCUGUAAUGACAGCAAAAAUUCAUGAAGUGUGCAUUGACAUGAAGCCACCCAGGUUGUUUAUGAUAUAAGGCUGUGAAGAUUUGACUAAUGGAGAUAAAAGAGCAACAGGAUGCUCUGCCAAAGCAUGCUAAUCAUGCCCUCCUUGGAUCUGACUUCAAGAAGGUCGAACUGUCGAAGCACUUGACAGGUUGACUAAAAUCAAGAUCUGGAAGCACCAUUUUUCUUGUGGCGCGACGGGUUCAGGUGGCUCAACAACAUUUCGAACAGGCGGAACUGCCAGCGAGCUGAGACAGAGCUGAGACGAGAAGGCGACGUUGCCAAGGAGAUGAGACAGUGCUGCUGGCGAGAAGACGAUGUUGCCGGCGAGCUGUGCCGGAGCGGCCAGCGAGAAGCCUGGAGGUGCCCCGAGCGUGGAGGUGCUAGCUAUGGUCCUGGGCGUUCCCGGCGGUAUGGUACUCUGCUCGGUGGGUGCUGAGCAUGCGUGGACGCCGACGAGCUACUUGCUGGCGGCCGGCAUGGCGCUUCUGCUGGGGGCCUACGGCCGGCCUCCGUGAGGUUUUCCGAUGGAUUCCGGCGGCGACGCGCAGACGGAUUGGAUUCAGCUGGCUUGACGCUCGCUUGGAUCGAUUCAGUUCUGCUGGUUUGAGGCGCGCUCGUCGGAUGAAUUCAGUUCAACUGGCUUGAGGCUCACGCGCGGAUGGAUCCUGCAGGUGGCGGAGGUGAUGGCUGGGGCGUUGGGGGCUGAGGACGAGGACGCUGGGAUCUGGAUCGAGAUCCAUGAAGACGAUCGUGGAUGGAUCCUGCAGGUGGCGGAGGUGAUCGCUGGGAUGUUGGGGGCGGAGCCGCGGAGGACGAGGACGCUGCGAUCUGAAUCGAGAUCCAUGAAGACGAAGCUCGGACCGGGAACGAUGUUAGACAGGGGUAGGAAUGUCUUUUCGUAGCGUUUUCACCUGGUCGGAAAAAUCCCAGAACGUCUUAUAUUUCUGAACGGAG